UAGUUGCAGUCAAGUUUGUAGAAAACCUUUCCACAGACGUACCCUCUUUAAUGCUGCCGGACCUGUACGGGGCGGGUUGGACCGGUGGAAUCUGGGCUAUAAGUGGCUGCUGCUGUGGAAGCUGUUGGAUGAUGUCUGUUGGAUGAUUCGAGGCGCAGGCGGGGCUGGUGGAGGAGCUGGAGGUGGAGACUGAUAGAUAUAAACAGGGGGUGAGGCAGGAGGUUCAUAAUGAUGCUGUCGGCGAGUUCCAGCCCACGUCUGAGGCCUUGCCAACUCGUCCAACAUGUGCUGUUCCUGUCUCCAACAACACCAAAACAAAUACGAAAUAAAAUCAGUAUACAAUAUAA